GAGUAUGUUCUAUGUAGGUUCUUGCUUAUGAAGCAGGUCAAAAAGACAAAAUCGGAGUGAACACAAUAUCAGCAGGAACACAUGCCAGCAUGGUGCAGUACAGAAACAAAGGCAAGAUGAGGAUCUUGGCAAGAUGAUGAGAUUUCUAGUAAUUCAAUUAUCUGCCAUGCCAUAGAUCGUGGCUGCCACUCAAGGGAAAUAGGGCAAAUAUUGAUGGGAAGGAGGGAAGAUCGAGAGAACAAUGUGUUACAUGGACCGUGGCUGUCCUUCAUGAUCGCUGAUCAUGGCUGCGCCACCGGUGGUCCGGCCGUUGCCGCCGGCGGUGAUCCCACUCAGCUUCUCUGUUUCGCGGAUCCUGUUUCUCCGCUGCUGCAAAAGGAACAACUGUAGAGGACGGUUUUGUUCUGUUUCAGGAUUGAUUUGGUUGACCAAUCGAUUGAGUGCA